UGCAUACCUUGUUGACUAUACAGGUUCUCAUUCAAAUCACCGAAGUCAAACAUCAUCGGGCGCUGUCAGCAUUUGGAAGGGUCACCACCUGGAAACACCGCGUGUCGUUG